AGGGAGUAAUCUGUGAUGAGAUUGGGCAGAAGUCAGCAGAGGCCAUAGUAGCCUAAUGCCCGGAGUAAUGACCGGGACAUGGUGAAGGGC
rnacentral:ncRNA from 1 species